GUCUUUUUUGCUUUAUCAUAAAAUAUAGCCCCCACCCCCCACCCCCCUCUGGCCGGGCUAGGGGGGUGUGCACCCCCCCCCCAGUAAAUCCAUCCCUGUAUAAGGUUAUAUUUCAUUAAGGGGUUGAGUCUUAAUAAUAGUUUAUUUGUGAAUUUAUUUAAAUAUAUAUCAUUUUGAUAUUGAGCAUAAUAGUUUUCACCUAAAUACAUUGUGC